CCUGUUACUCAAUGCCUUCAUACUGCAUUGAGUUCACUCCAGCAAAGUUAUCCUCAUAUUAGAAAAAGGAAUUUAUCAAUGACAUUUUAGGAUGAUCCAUUUUCACACUCAUUUAUGUCUAAAGUUACAGGUGAUAACUAGUUUUAUUCCAGGUGUGGGGAACCAAAGGACAAUAAUUCCAAGAGUAAUUGACCUGGAAGUAGAAAGGAUGGAUAAUUUUUAAAUAUUUCAUCGUACCAGGCUGUGCCAAGUGGAAGAGUAGGAACAAAGUGGACCGAGAUGUACUGAUAUGGCAUGAGGCUCUUGAGAAACAAAUGUGAUGUAUCAUGAGAAGAAUUGUCAGAGCCCUUUUGGGAACCCUAUAGUUGUGUUUGUGGGACUGGACCACGAGACACACACCAAACCUAGAGACAGACAUUCCUGUGCCGGUAGCCGCAAUGGAUCUUCCACGCUAUGCACCAAGGAGGUCCAGUGAGCCAGUCCCUGUGGUAUGUGUGUUGGAACAAUACAAUCUGGGGUUCUCAGUUCCCUGAAUGAUACGAAUAAAAACAUUACAGCACAUACAAGAAGCUGCAACAGUGGCAAAACUGUGCAUAUCCAUGACAACUAAGGCAUUCACCAGUGACAAUGGCAGGAUUUGAGGUUUGGAUUAAUUUUAAAGUUUACUUGGAUGAUCAGCUUGGGAGCCUUGUGGAAGCUGCAGCAGUCCUGAGUUUGGGUUUAAAAUUCACCCAGUUACCAACUUUUUCCAGUCCCUGUAUUAAUUGUAAAUGAAACUCAUGCUCCCUUGCUCCCUGACCUUGACAAGACACUGCUUCCAGCAGCUGUAAAUGAAACUGAAAGCAGAUCCAUGAGGAUAAUUAUACCCCAGCAGAGGUUUCAACACAUUGUUUGUCCUGUGGAACUUUUUAAGGAAUCUGGCACACAGGAGACAGUUCCUGAAAGUAUUCCUGGAAACCUCAAGCUUUCCCACUACUCCUGUGGAGUGCUUAAUGGGAUGAUCACUUACCUGGAGGAAAUUGAAUAAAUACAGAAGCAGAAGUCACAGAGGAAAGAGAUAACAAAGGAUUAUAAUUUUUCUCAAGAUUUAGGAGGUUGAUGAGGUCCUGGCACAGGUUGUCCAGAGAAGCUGUGGCUGCCCCAUGCCUGGAAAUGUCCAAGGCCAGGUUGGAGAGGAGCUUGGAGCAACCUGGGCUAGUGACAAGUGUCCUUGCCCAUGGCAGGGGGCUGGAACUGGGUCAUCUUUAACAUCCCUUCCAACCCAAAUCAUUCUGUGAUUCUAUGAUUCCACGAUUUCCUGCAGCUGUUUGCUGACAAUAAACCCAAGUGUCCGAAGUUAACCAACUUCAUAGACUCACCAAAGGAAGGAGAUGUGAUUUUUAGGUAUUACUUCCCUAAUUAGAGCCUACACUGACUUUUCAGUGAUAUGCAGUCCAUUCCCUACGAGCCCUUUCAAGAGGAAACACAGCUGUGGGUCAUACACCCUUGUGGAAACUGGGAUACACACAAAAAAAA